CGGCGUGGCGAUAGCUUGUUUAAUUACCAGUCCCCCCCACGGAUCACUGAAGUUAAGCCACGUUGCGCGAGGUUAGUACCUGGAUGGUGACCAUCUAUGGAAACACGUGCUGCUGGGU
rnacentral:rRNA from 1 species